UAGGGAAUAUUAGUAAUGGGCGAAAGCCUGAACUAGCAACACCGCGUGUGCGAAGAAGGCCUUCGGGUUAUAAAGCACUUUUUGAGAGGAUGAGGAAGGACGGUACUCUCAGAAUAAGUCUCGGCUAACUACGUGCCAGCAGCCGCGGUAACACGUAGGAGGCAAACGUUAUCCGGAUUUACUGGGCGUAAAGCGCGUGUAGGUGGUUUGGUAAGUAGAGCGUGAAAGCUCCUGGCUCAACUGGGAGAGGUCGUUCUAAACUGCCGGACUAGAGGAUGGUAGAGGGAGGUGGAAUUCCGGGUGUAGCGGUGGAAUGCGCAGAUAUCCGGAGGAACACCAGUGGCGAGAGCGGCCUCCUGGACCACUCCUGACACUCAGACGCGAAAGCUAGGGUAGCAAGCG
rnacentral:rRNA from 1 species